AUCAGAAAUAACUGCAUCAUCAGCUGGAACAACUGGUAAUGGCAGACUGUCAGAUGGAGUGACAAGCAAAACUGAACAGUCAACUGGAGUAGCUGGGACAAGUGGACCGUCAGGCACUGCUAACGAGCUGUAUGGAUCCACCACUGGAGCAGGUGGAAGUGUGACCAGAUUAACCAGUCCUGGAAAAUCAGGUACAAUGGGAGUGCCAGCUACAACCUCCACAGCAACAAGAGGCAGCAGCACAGCCUUCACAGCAGGUUCUACAGAAAUUGGGCCUGACUUGACAAUUGCACCAGGAACUAUCCCUAUUGAAACUUCUGGCAGUGUCACAAGCAAAGCCCUGGAAACUGGAGCUUACAUCACAGAUGCCACAACUGCUACAGGGACCACCAGUGCAGUGCUAUCUAGAGUGACCACCAUCAUUUUCACUGAAAUCAGAACUACUUCAGAAGUUUCCACCACAGAGGCCACAACUUUAGCAGGAGGCAGCAGCACUCCUGGAAGUGGGUCCAGACCAGGUACCACCACAACACCAGGAAGCCAUGCAACUGGGAUUCUGACAGAGGCUACAACUUCCACAGAAGGGCCUGGUACUACUGAGACUGGACUGAAAACAGGCACCUCUGGGGUAGAUUCCAGCACAACUGCCCCUGGAAGUUCUGGCACUGCAGCCACAACUUCCCCUGGAGAAAACAGAACAACUAGAGUUCGAACCACUGCAGGAACUUCUAGAGUAGCCUCUGCUACAACAGCCACCGCUACAAGGAAUUCUGCUACAACAACCUCUCUUUCAACAGCUGCCCAUGAGGACACCAACUCAGGAGUUACAGCAUCCUCUAGAGGUGGUACAACCAAAGAAGGUGG
rnacentral:lncRNA from 1 species